rnacentral:lncRNA from 1 species
AACACACUAAAUGUAUUGUAGUUAUGAGGCCUGAGGUAAAACACUAAAUGUAUUGUAGAUAUGUGGCCUGAGGUAAUACACUAAAUGUAUUGUAGUUAUGAGGCCUGAGGUAAAACACUAAAUGUAUUGUAGAUAUGUGGCCUGAGGUAAUACACUAAAUGUAUUGUAGUUAUGAGGCCUGAGGUAAAACACUAAAUGUAUUGUAGAUAUGUGGCCUGAGGUAACACACUAAAUGUGUUGUAGUUAUGAGGCCUGAGGUAACACACUAAAUGUAUUGUAGAUAUGAGGUAGUAGUGGUCUAAGGUAACACACUAAAUGUAUUGUAGUUAUGUGGUAGUAGUGGUCUGAGGUAACACACUAAAUGUAUUGUAGUUAUGUGGCCUGAGGUAACACACUAAAUGUAUUGUAGAUAUGAGGCCUGAGGUAACACACUAAAUGUAUUGUAGAUAUGUGGUAGUAGUGGUCUGAGGUAACACACUAAAUGUAUUGUGAAAAGUGUUAUGAAAUGUUAUUGUCAUGUAAUAUUUUAAAUUGUAUAUAACUUCCCUAAUGUUGCUGGACCCCAGGAAGAGUAGCUGCUGCAUUGGCAGGAACUAAUGGGGAUCCAUAAUAAACCCCAGGAAGAGUAGCUGCUGCCUUGGCAGGAACUAAUGGGGAUCCAUAAUAAACCC